rnacentral:sRNA from 1 species
UAAUUGCGUUAGGGAUUGAUGCGGCAUCCUUUUUUUGAGGCACGUAAAAAAAAGAUAUAGCGGAAAGCCCGACCUUUA